CAUACCCCGAAAAUGACGGUUUAACCCCUUCCCCUAUUA
rnacentral:tRNA from 1 species